CACGUAGGGGGCGAGCGUUGUCCGGAUUUAUUGGGCGUAAAGAGCUCGUAGGUGGCUCGGUAAGUCGGGUGUGAAAUUUCGGAGCUUAACUCCGAAACUGCAUUCGAUACUGCCGUGCUUGAGGACUGGAGAGGAGACUGGAAUUUACGGUGUAGCAGUGAAAUGCGUAGAGAUCGUAAGGAAGACCAGUGGCGAAGGCGGGUCUCUGGACAGUUCCUGACACUGAGGCACGAAGGCCAGGGGAGCAAACGGG
rnacentral:rRNA from 1 species